CAAAGACGGAUUCUCCACGCCAGCUUUAGGAAUUGCAAGCAGAUGCGGGUUCUAGAAGCGCAGCGCACCCUCCUAGCUAUGGCUAGAAAGAUGUGAAUUUAUCCUCAUCCCAGCUCUGGAGCUGGCCUGGGCAGCCUCUCCCGACAGCUCAAUGCCAGGCUGCUUCUGUAGAACUCCCCGACGUCAAAACCACCGCCCUGAACAAUCCUGCAAUGACCGCUGUACAGCCAAGGAGCAAGCCUGCACUGGGAGGUCACUGGGAGGACUUGCCACCACGUGGCAUGGUCUAAUAACACUGGGAGAUAAUAAGGAGCGCCUCUGCUCCUCACAACCCAAGCCUGACAUUUCUUCAGGAGGUUCACUGGCUGGGCCCCCAAGCCUUCAAGGUUCUAGGUGCACAAUGUAGCUCCCAGGAUGCAUUCAAUGCAGCUUCGCUCUAAUAAAUGGUUGU